rnacentral:ncRNA from 1 species
UUUUGCUUGCCGCCGGGUGAGCAUCAGAGCAUUGAUUUCGUAUCGUUAGGCCAUGGAAGAUACGAAAAUCAAUGCUUUUCUUUUU